ensembl:lncRNA
AGAUGUGUGGGGGCGCCGAGUAACCCAUAAAAUCAACGCCAUGUGAGUUGCCAGCAAUACCCUGUUCUCCAGUCCAGCAGUGAUUAUAAGCGGUGGGUAGGGGGCGCUAUCCCACUGGACUGGAGAUGUUCGAGGCCAAACAUCGAGCGGUGGAGAAGAAGGAGUCAAGCACAGAGACGGAUGAGGGCCUGGGCAGCAGCAGUAAACACUUCGGCUCCGGGUCGCUGGGCUCCGGUUCGGGCGGGUCAGUUUACCUCUCCGACAGCCAGGACUGGGUGGUGUCUCCGAGCUGCUCCCCCGACGAGGGCCCGGCCCCCCACAGCGCCAUCUCCCCCAUGCUGGCAGAGGAGACCUUUCGCUACAUGAUCCUCAGCGCUGACCGAGUGGAGCAGAUGACCAAGACCUACAAUGACAUCGAAGUGGUCACUCACCUUCUGGCAGAGAGGGACAGAGAUUUGGAGUUGGCGGCUCGGAUCGGUCAGUCUCUUCUACAGAGGAAUCAUAUUCUGCAAGAACGCAACGAGGCCAUAGAGGAGCAGCUCGCACAAGCUCUAGACCAGGUCCAUCAGCUGCAGCAUGAGCUGGGGAAGAAGGAUGAGUUGUUGCGGAUGGUUGCGAGCGCGUCUGAGGAGAGCGAGACCGACUCCAGCGUCUCAACGCCGCUACGGCAGAACCAGCCUCUGGCAGCGAUCUCCACGGCAACGGCAGCUCUCAGCCAACUGGAACAUCUGCAGAACAAACUCCAGGAUCUGGAGGAGGAGAACCUGGCUUUAAGAUCUGAGGCAUGUCAAUUGAAGAGGGACACCGUAAGCUACGAGGAGAAGGAACAACAGCUGGUCAUCGACUGUGUCAAAGAGCUCCGAGAGUCCAACACGCAGAUGGUGACUUUGACAGAGGAACUGUCCAAAAAAAACGAAGAGCUUGUAAGACACCAAGAAGAAAUCGCCCAACUCCUGUCUCAAAUCGUAGAGCUGCAACACAGAGUCAAAGAGCUUGCGUUAGAGAAGGAAGAGCUAAGGAUCCACCUACAGGCCUCCAAAGACGCCCAGAGACAGCUGACAGCGGAGCUCAAUGAAGUGACGGAGAGGAACGCGGAGUGUGCGGAGAUGCUCCACGAGUCGCUGCAGGAAAUCAAAGAGCUCCGGAACAAAAACACACCGUUCUGUGGGAUGAGGCGGCACAUGUCCUACGGCCUGUACCCCAUGGACUCGUUGGCUGCAGAAAUCGAAGGCACCAUGAGAAGAGAGCUCAGUAUAGAUGAAGAAACUAAGCGAGUUUUCCAGACCGUUCGCUCCUUAAACGCAGCAGCAUCAAACCGAGCCCCUUCAGCCGUUCCUCCCAUCCCCGGGUCCGGAUGCAGCUCUCUGGUGAUGACCUCGCAGCCUUUCCCCUCCAAUCAGGGAGAUGAAGUGAAAAUCGGGCAGCCUGGUUGUCCCGGUGGGAACGAUCUGACCAAAGCGCUGCACAGGCUGUCUUUGAGGAGGCAGAACUUCCUGUGCGAGAGGCAGUUCUUUCAGGCCGAGCGGGAUAAGAAGCUCCAGGCGCAGACGGCAGAGGGCGACGGAGAGGCGAGCGGCUGCGGUUCACCGAUGGGCAGCGUCAUGUCGUCUUACUCAAACCUCUCGGAGCUCUCCUACGGGUCCAGCGUGUUCAAGACCUUCCUCCCUGAGAAACUGCAGAUAGUCAAGCCCAUGGAAGGCUCAUUGACGCUCCACCACUGGCAGCAGCUCGCACAGCCCCACCUGGCGUCCAUCUUGGAUCCCCAUCCCGGAGUGGUCACCAAGGGUUUCCGUCCUCUGGCCCAGGACGCGGCGCACCAGCUCUCCGACAUGGAGGAGGAGGAAAACGGCGCGGGAGGAGCUCGAGCGCCAGUUGGAGAAAUGUUUGAUAAAUGUCUUUUCUCCGCAGUGCAAAACCCUGGAAAGUGUCAGAGCUCCACUUUCUCCACCUACACCUUCACCACCUGUCGCAUCCUGCACCCGAGUGACAUCACACAAGUCACGGCGAGGUAA